AUUGCCCCAGUAACGGCGAGUGAAGCGGCAACAGCUCAAAUUUGAAAUCUGGCCCCCAGGGCCCGAGUUGUAAUUUGCAGAGGAUGCUUUUGGCGAGGUGCCUUCCGAGUUCCCUGGAACGGGACGCCAUAGAGGGUGAGAGCCCCGUCUGGUUGGACGCCGAGCCUCUGUAAAGCUCCUUCGACGAGUCGAGUAGUUUGGGAAUGCUGCUCUAAAUGGGAGGUAUAUGUCUUCUAAAGCUAAAUAUUGGCCAGAGACCGAUAGCGCACAAGUAGAGUGAUCGAAAGAUGAAAAGCACUUUGAAAAGAGAGUUAAAUAGUACGUGAAAUUGUUGAAAGGGAAGCGCUCAUGACCAGACUUGGGCCCGGUGAAUCAUCCAGCGUUCUCGCUGGUGCACUUUGCCGGUGCCCAGGCCAGCAUCAGUUCGCCCCGGGGGAUAAAGGCUCUGGGAAUGUGGCUCCCUAGGGAGUGUUAUAGCCCAUUGCACAAUACCCUGUGGCGGACUGAGGUUCGCGCAUCUUGCAAGGAUGCUGGCGUAAUGGUCAUCAGCGACCCGUCUUGAAACACGGACCAAGGAGUCGUCUUCGUAUGCGAGUGUUCGGGUGUCAAACCCCUACGCGUAAUGAAAGUGAACGCAGGUGAGAGCUUCGGCGCAUCAUCGACCGAUCCUGAUGUUCUCGGAUGGAUUUGAGUAAGAGCAUACGGGGCCGGACCCGAAAGAAGGUGAACUAUGCCUGUAUAGGGUGAAGCCAGAGGAAACUCUGGUGGAGGCUCGCAGCGGUUCUGACGUGCAAAUCGAUCGUCAAAUAUGGGCAUGGGGGCGAAAGACUAAUCGAACC
rnacentral:rRNA from 1 species